rnacentral:lncRNA from 1 species
CCCGCGAGGGGGGAUGAAGGACGCCACCGAGGAAGCAGACCCCACCGGGCUCCCGAGGCUGCCAGGCCCCCCGCUCAGGGCGCUGCCUGCAGAACCACGCCCCCCUGUCCCUGUGCUAAGAGGGUGACGCGAGUGCCCGAAGCCCUGGCCUGGUUACCAUUCGCGACUCCCUCGUCCUGGGUUCUCCCAUUGCCAGGAAUGUUUUACUAGUAACCAUGGUAUAGUUGAGACGAUCCACUCUUGUCCUACGCAUUUCGGCACAAUACAGGCGUCUAGGAGGCUUACCUGGCAUUGCCUGAGAGAAUCUUCCAUCCAUUUAAGUACCCAGUAACAGAGGGAGCAAAGCAAAUCUUAUCCUCAAAGAACUGCAGCUGCUUGUUAGAUCUACCUGGUGGUUCCAUAGAGAAACUGCUCAGAGAACCUGCCUUUACCUCGCCUAAAACAGAACUAUCCCGGAGCUCAGCAAAGGAGUCCAUUCAUCCUCUAUAACUGCUAUACAAUAUCUCUGUUAAAAUGCUGAGAAGAUUUAUCCUAAAAGAAGGCACCAAAGCAAUGGGGGCUGUGCAAAUAAUGAUUGGCCUGAUUCACAGUGCACUGGGAACUCUCUGAAUUCAUUGGAUUUUGCUAAGAGAGGAUUCAAGUGGUUCUGGUCCUAUCCCUAUAAUUGCUGUAGUAAUUUACUCAUUUUUGUCAUUAUUUUUUUUCAUCAACUCAGGAUCCAGUAGUGUAAUACAGAAGCCUGUUACGAGAUAUAAGGCACUUUGCCCUCGGAAAUCUCACUGUCGGAAUCCUUGGAAAUCACACCACGCACAACUUCUAUUUCUUCAUAAUUUGCAAAGAACCAGUGUGACUCCAGUCAAGAACAAAAGAUUAAUUGUGAAUUAGCGAAGAACUCUAAUUUUUUCAAGCAGCCACAUGGAAAACGCAUUCUAAUGAAAUCCUUUCCAUUGCUCUUUUUUCUUAGUUCUUCAAUAAAGCAUGCGAUUUGAUCACAAA